AGGAGGCUUUUGGGUCGUAACCGCUUUUAUCAGGGAAGAAGAUCUGACGGUACCUGUUGAAUAAGCCUCGGCUAACUCCGUGCCAGCAGCCGCGGUAAGACGGAGGAGGCAAGCGUUAUCCGGAAUUAUUGGGCGUAAAGCGUCCGCAGGUGGCCUUUCAAGUCUGUUGUUAAAGCCCAGGGCUCAACUCUGGAUCAGCAAUGGAAACUGAAAGGCUAGAGUACGGUAGGGGUAGAGGGAAUUCCCAGUGUAGCGGUGAAAUGCGUAGAUAUUGGGAAGAACACCAGUGGCGAAGGCGCUCUGCUGGGCCGUAACUGACACUCAUGGACGAAAGCUAGGGGAGCGAAAGGGAUUAGAUAA
rnacentral:rRNA from 1 species